rnacentral:rRNA from 1 species
GACGAACGCUGGCGGCGGGCUUAACACAUGCAAGUCGAACGAACGCCUUCGGGCGUUAGUGGCGCACGGGUGAGUAACACGUAGGCAAUCUACCCUCGGCUGGGGAAGUAACCAGGGGAAACCCGUCGGCUAAUACCGCAUAACAUCUGGACGUCGCCUGGCGACCAGAUCAAAGCUUUAUGUGGCCGAGGAUGAGCCUGCGUCGGAUUAGCUAGUUGGGUGGGAACGGCCGUACCAGCGACGAUCCGUAGCGGGUCUGAGAGGAUGAU